rnacentral:rRNA from 1 species
AAUUCGAAGCAACGCGAAGAACCUUACCACGGCUUGACAUGCAGAGAACUUUCCAGAGAUGGAUUGGUGCCUUCGGAACUCUGACACAGGUGCUGCAUGGCUGUCGUCAGCUCGUGUCGUGAGAUGUUGGGUUAAGUCCCGUAACGAGCGCAACCCUUGUCCUUAGUUACCAGCACGUUAUGGUGGGCACUCUAAGGAGACUGCCGGUGACAAACCGGAGGAAGGUGGGGAUGACGUCAAGUCAUCAUGGUCCUUACGGCCUGGGCUACACACGUGCUACAAUGGUCGGUACAAAGGGUUGCCAAGCCGCGAGGUGGAGCUAAUCCCAUAAAACCGAUCGUAGUCCGGAUCGCAGUCUGCAACUCGACUGCGUGAAGUCGGAAUCGCUAGUAAUCGUGAAUCAGAAUGUCACGGUGAAUACGUUCCCGGGCCUU